GGAGGUUACUGCUAUCGGUGUUCGCCUACCCUAUGCGAGUCAUAUGUUCUUCGUGAACAUGGCGUACUGCUCAGUAACACGUGAAUAACCUGCCCUUGGGACCGGCAUAACCCCGGGAAACUGGGGAUAAUUCCGGAUACCGCAUAUAUGCUGGAAUGCUUUAUGCGUGAAAUGGAUUCUUCUGCCCAAGGAUGGAUCUGCGGCCUAUCAGGUAGUAGUGGGUGUAAUGUACCUACUACCCUACAACGGGUACGGGUUGUGAAAGCAAGACCCCGGAAAUGGAUUCUGAAACAUGAAUCCAGGCCCUACGGGGCGCACCAGGCGCGAAAACUUUACAAUGCGGUAAACCGUGAUAAGGGGACACCCAGUGCCAGCAACAUUUGUUGGCUGUCCAGGUGUGUAAACUACACCUGUUAGCAAGGCCCGGGCAAGACGGGUGCCACCCGCCCCGGUAA
rnacentral:rRNA from 1 species